GACAAUACUGACGCUGAGAUGCGAAGCGUGGGGAGCAAACAGGAUUAGAUACCUGGUAGUCCACGCUGUAAACGAUGUCGAUUUGGAGUUUGGGGGCAUGACCCUUGGGCUCCGGAGCUAACGCGUUAAAUCGACCGCCUGGGAGUACGGCCGCAAGGUUAAAACUCAAAUGAAUUGACGGGGGCCCGCACAGCGGUGGAGCAUGUGGUUUAAUUCGAUGCAACGCGAAGAACCUUACCUGGUCUUGACAUCCAUAGAAUCUUUCAGAGAUGAGAGAGUGCCUUCGGGAGCUAUGAGACAGGUGCUGCAUGGCUGUCGUCAGCUCGUGUUGUGAAAUGUUGGGUUAAGUCCCGCAACGAGCGCAACCCCUAUCCUUUGUUGCCAGCACGUAAUGGUGGGAACUCAAAGGAGACUGCCGUUGAUAAAGCGGAGGAAGGUGGGGACGACGUCAAGUCAUCAUGGCCCUUACGACCAGGGCUACACACGUGCUACAAUGGCGUAUACAAAGGGAUGCGAAGGUGCGAACUGGAGCGGACCUCACAAAGUACGUCUAAGUCCGGAUUGGAGUCUGCAACUCGACUCCAUGAAGUCGGAAUCGCUAGUAAUCGUGAGUCAGAAUGUCACGGUGAAUACGUUCCCGGGCCUUGUACACACCGCCCGUCACACCAUGGGAGUGGGUUGCACCAGAAGUAGAUAGCUUAACCUUCGGGAGGGCGUUUACCACGGUGUGGUUCAUGACUGGGGUGAAGUCGUAACAAGGUAACCA
rnacentral:rRNA from 1 species